rnacentral:rRNA from 1 species
GAUAAACGCUGGCGGCGUGCAUGAGACAUGCAAGUCGAACGAAGGAUCGGGCUUGCUCGAUCCUUAGUGGCGGACGGCUGAGUAACGCGUAGGUGACCUACCCCGACGUGGGGAAUAACUGCCCGAAAGGGUGGCUAAUACCGCAUGUGGUCGCACGUUUAUUCGUGCGAGUAAAGCUGCAAGGCGCUUCGGUAGGGGCCUGCGUCCGUUUAGCUCGUCGGUGGGGUAAUGGCAUACCAAUGCGACGAUCGGUAGGUGGUCUGGGAGGACGAUCACCGAGGCUGGGACUGAGACACAGCCGAGAAUCCUACGGGAGGCAGCAGUCGGGAAUUUUGCUCAAUGGGGGAAGCCAUGAAGCAGCAACGCCGCGUAAGGGAUGAAGGCCUUCGGGUUGUAAACCUCUUUUGUCAGGGACGAUGAUGACGGUACCUGGCGAAUAAGCCACGGCUAACUACGUA